UCAAACAUGGAUAAACAGUAUUAUAAAGUUUUCAAAGUUUGUUCAUUGAUGAACAAAACUGAUCUUCAAGCAGAAACUCAGUUUUAAAGGUAGUUAAAGUUCUUUGCUCAGUGAACUUGUUUUUGUUUAUCUUGUGCACAUGUAUUAAAUUAUUAUGCAAAUAGAAAUGAUACAAAUGUCAUAAUUGUUUGAAGUAAACCGUCAUUAAUAGACAGUACAUAUGUUUUUCUUAGGUGAAAUAUUUUGGGAAGAGGUUAGCUUCAGCAACCCGGAUAUAGAAAAUUGGACCAGAGGUACUUGAGAUACAAAUGUAGCUGCUGAUUAGAGGUGAGCUGUAGAAUGAGUUGGGAGGUUGACAAAUAAUCAAAUAUCUUAUGUUAGUACCAGAGUCAUACUACAGUUGUUAUCAAAGUGAGUUAUGGAAGGAGGUUGAGACUGACGUGCAGCUUACAGUUUAAAAUGCCAGAUUAAUAUUACAGUGAAUAUCGCAGUGAGCUGGUGAUGAGAUUGCCUAUUUAGAUCCUGUUACCCAUAAAGGUUGAUGUUGUUUACAGAUAAGUUUGUUACAGCUGAAGUGUGAUACUAGAGUAAGUGAUUUCCAUUAUAUGUGUUGAAAUACAUACAUUUUAUUAUGCUUACUUUAGCAAAAGGCUCAAACUGGGCCUCCGUGGCCAAGUGGUUAAUGUCGCUGACUUUAAAUCACUUGCCCCUCAUCGAUGUGGGUUCGAGCCUUACUUGGGGCGUUGAAUUUUUCAUGUGAAGAAGCCAUCCAACUGGCUUAUGGAAGGUCGGUGGUUCUACCCAGGUGCCCGCUCGUGAUGAGAUAGUGCACGCAGGCCGAGGUGCACCUGGGGUCUUCCUCCACCAUUAAAGCUGGAAAGUCGCAAUAUGACCUAUCAUGCGUGGGUGCGACGUUAAAUUCAACAAAAAUGUUAAUAAAAUGAAUACUAAUUCCAGAGCUGUUAAUUCUUUUUAAUGUCCAGUAAUAAAGUUCUGUGUGUAUUUCUAUUAUAAAAUCGAUCAUAUUGAGCAAACAACAUUAUCUACCUAUAAAACUGAGAAACUGAGCUUGAUUUUAAAUUUUGUUAAUCAAUGAACAAUGCAGUAUUGUAUUAUUUAAUCAUCACAACAAGUAUUGCCAAAACAACCAGUUUUAUGCUAUUUUUAGCUCACCAUAUCACAGGGACUGACCUCCAGAUUGAUUGAAAACAAAAAGAAGAAGAAAAUGUUAUGAUGGCUAUAUUUCUUAAUGAUGCUUUAAACCAAAUUUUACCCCAGAUAGUCCGCUUGACAAGUUUUUCCAUUCAAAAGUGAAAAGCCUGUCUCACAGUGUACCAAAGUUAAACUGACCUAAUUGUAAAACUUAUAAAGGGUCUUUAAAAAAACUCUUUUUAUCAAAAUGGUCUUAAUUUAAUUUACUGCUGGGAAUUUCAUGAUUUAGACAUUGUUUUAAUGUCUUGAUUAGCAUUGUUUUAAAUUGAUCUUAAACUUUAAACAACAAUAAAUGUUUCAUGUUCAUAACUUCACCAACUCAACUUCAGUAUGAAAAAAAAAGAUUGUUUUUAUUCAAAACCUAGAUUGUAGAACUGCAUGUACCUUUCACAAACUUAAAUCAUUAGAUCAUUACCUUUCAGCUGUAACUUAUUUUCCUUUUUGCAGGUGUUGUGCGCAGAUUUUGCAAUAACUUCUGAUAUGUAAUUGCAUGAACUUUGAUCCUUUCAGUAGACUUGGUCAAAAGUCGUUGUCUGUGUAUUGUAUGCACAGCUGUUGUUAAUGAACAUUACUGAAAUGAAGGACAACUGUCAUUUUUCAGUUGUGACCUUAUUAAAGUAUUGUAGAAUUGUUCAAAAUGAGUAAAAUGAUAUACAGUGAUAUGAAUGUAAGAUAACACAUGUUUUUUCUUGUUUUAACAUCUGCAAAAUCCCGAGGGAUUGAUUGGUACCAGAGCCUGUCAAGGCGAGGGUACCAACUAUUUCCAAGGGAUUAUGAAGAUAUUAUAACACGAUAAGAACAUGCGCUAACGCUAUUCUAGCAUAAAACAUAUUUUCUUUCAACGUUUUGAUAUGUGACUCUGAAACUUUGUACAGUUCAUUACCAUCAUGGUUACACAUUGCCAUUUAGUGCAAGACUUAUCGAAGUCCACAAAUACAGGAACAUUUUUUGGUUAAUUUAUUUUUAGCACACCUGAGCCAAAGGCUCAUGGUGAGCUUUUGUGACUGCUCAAUGUCUGUCAUCUGUCGUGCGUCGUCCGUCCGUCAACAUUUUCUAAAAAAAUCUUCUUGAAAACCACUAGACAGAUUUAUAUCAAACUUCACAGGAAUGAUCCUUGGGUGGUCUCCUUUCAAAAUUUUUCAAAGAAUGAAUUCCAUGCAGAACUCUGGUUGCCAUGGCAACUGAAAGGAAAAACUUAAAAAAUCUUUUCCAAAACUGCAAGGCGUAGAGUCUUGAUAUUUAGCAUGUGACAUCAUCUAUUGCUCCUCUAUCAAAAUUGUUCAAAUUAUGCCCCUAGGGUGAAAAGAGGCCCCGUCCCGGGGGUCACAAGUUUGACAUAGACUUAUAUAGGAAAAAACUUUAAAAAUCUGCUUGUCUAAAACCACAAGACAUAGGCCUUUGAUAUUUGUUAUGUAGCAUUACCUUGAAGUCCUCUGCCACAAUUGUUCAAAUUAUAAAUCUGGGAUGAAAAGAGGUCCUGCCCAGUGGGGUCUCAAGUUUUACAUAGACCUACAUGUAUAUAGGAAAAACUUUAAAAAAUCUUCUUGCUUGAAUCUGCAAUGCCUAUGCUUUUGAUAUUUGGUAUGUUGCAUUGCCUUGUAGUCCUCUACCAAAGUUGUUCAAAUUAUGCCCGUGGGGUGAAAAGAGGCACUGCCCUUGGGGUCCUAAACUUAACCUGGACUUACAUAGAGAAAAAAAAUCUUCUUGUCUGAAAGCUCAAUGCCUAGGCCUUUGAUAUUAGGUAUGUAGCAUUGCCUAGUGGAUGGCUAACAAGAUUGUUCAAAUUAUUUCCCUACGGUUGAAAAGAGGCCCCUCCCUGGGGAUCACUUGUUAUAUGAGUUAUAAAGGAAUAAAUACUUCAAAAGUUGUCAGAUCAUAUUUCCUACACUGUUUUAUUGUAAUUACCUGAUGAUCCCAAGUGAUUAGGGGUCACCUGACUGUGACCUUGACCUACUGACCUACUUUCUUGUUUUUUAAGAUACAGCCUUGUAAUUUGGAUGACAUGUACAGUUUUGCACACCGAUUUUAAAACUGACAUAGAUAUGACCUUCUGACUUACUUUCUAAUAUUUAAGCAUCAGUUUGGCAUUUUAAACAUAUGGCUCAUAUUAGUCAAGUGAGCGAUUCAGGGUCAUCAUGACCCUCUUGUUUUCUUUUGUCUGAAAAUCUGUGGUAAUAUUUUGACUCCAUCCUUCAAUCAAUUCUUCGAAUAGUCGAGCGUGCUAUCAUCCAACAGCUCUUGCUUUUUUUUUUACUUUUAUGACAAUUCCUUUUGAUUUAUACAUUUGGGGCCGUAAUAUGAUUGCGUUUUGCCAUGGAAUGCACUUAUAUAAAAAGAUGUGAAAAUCUCUCUAUUAACACAUGUUUUUUUUUCUGUUAAAACACCCCCAAAAAGAGCAGUUUUAUGCUAGAAUGACCUGCCCAGUAGUUAAGAACCCUUAUAAAUGGUAAUUCUCACACUGAUUUUGUUGGUGUUUUUUUCAACAGGUUUACUGAGCACUUGAAAAGAUCCUAUUUUGAGGUACAUUUGAAAGUUUGAGUCUCCUUUCAUAUUGACUAACAUAAAAAAAGUUUUAAACAAAAAUUGUAUAGUAGUAUAUUUAUCAGUUGGCAUGAAAUUUGUUCAUAGAGAGCUUUUGGUAUAUUUGGAUGAUCCGGUGUUAGUUGCUCUUCAUCAAAACGUUACUUAAUCAUCUGCUCUUAAACUUCUGGUCAUAAAUACAUCAAACUUAGACUGUGCCUGUGGUAUGACAUAUAUCUUUCAAGACUGAUGAACCACUUGACAGAAUCCUUGGGCCUAGGAUCCUAAAUUUUAGUACACAGGUGCAACAUCACAAAAUACAUGUCAAGUUUGAAAUGGAGAUCAUCGGGUCAAAGAACAAGGUCACAAAGACCUUGGACAGGUAAAAGGUUUCUGCAUGAUAACUUGAAAAUGCUUGGGCCUAGGAACAUAAACUAUGUUACACAGAUGGAACAUCAUAAAAUACAGGUCAAGUUCAACUUUGAGGUUAAUUAGGUCAAAGGUCAAGGUUACAUUUACACAGAAAUUUUUAACUGUUUCAGGAUGAUUACUUGAGAACAAAUGAGUCUAGGAUCAUAGUUUUUAGUACACAGGUGUAACAUGAUUAAAUACAGGUCUAGGUCAAUAUGACCUGAAAAAGUUAAACCAUGUCUGGAUGAUAACCUAAGAAAGGUUUGGCCUAGGAUCAUGCAAAUUCUUACAGAGAUUGGUCAUGACCAGCAGAUGCCCCUAAUUAUUUUGAGGUCAGUAGGACACAGGUCAAUGUCACAGUGACCAGGAACUUAUAAACAGGGAUUUGACAUUGACUUUAGAACAGUUGGGCCUAGGAACACGAAACUUACCAGGGAUGUUGGUCAUGACCAGUUUAUGACCUAUAUUGAUUUCGAGUUCGCAAGUUCAAGUGUCAGAGUGACAGGUACAUUUAAACUGUUUAUGGACAAUAUCUUGAGAACUCCUCGGCCAAGGAUCAUGAAACUUCAUAGGAGUUUGAUCAUGACCAGUAGAUGACCCCUUUUGAUUUUGAAGUCAUUAGGUCAAAGGUCAAGCAAAAUCAACCUUUGACGUAGGCUUAGUUUUGGGACAAGGCCAUAUUGUGGUAUAAUUCGUCACUCCUGUGACAACUCUAAGUUCUGGCUCUCCCAGAAAAGCAACGAGAAAAAAAUUAAAACAACUUUUUAGCUCACCUGAGCACGAAGUGCUCAAAGGUGAGCUUUAGUGAUCACCCUGUGUCCGCCGUCCGUCGUCCGUCCGUCGUCUGUCGUCAACAAUUUGACUGUUAACACUCUAAAUUCACAUUUUUGGCCCAAUCUUAAUGAAGCUUGGUCAGAAUGUUACCCUCCAUAAAGUAUUGGACGAGUUUGAUAUUGGGUCAUCUGGGGUCAAAAACUAGGUCACCAGCUCAAAUCAAAGGAAAACCUUGUUAACAUUCUAGAGGUCACAUUUUUGGCCCAUUCUUAAUGAAACUUAGUCAGAAUGUUACCCUUAAUAAAGUCUUGGAAGAGUUCAAUAUUGGAUCACCUGGGGUCAAAAACUAGGUCACCAGGUCAAAUCAAAGGAAAAGCUUGUUAACACUCUAGAGGUCACAAUUUUGGCCCAAUUUUAAUGAAACUUGGUCAGAAUGUUAUCCUUAAAAAAGUCUUGGACGAGGUUGAUAUUGGGUCAUCUGGGUUAAAAAAAAACUAGGUCAUCAAGUCAAAUCAAAUGAAAAGCUUUUAAACACUGUAGAGGCCGCAUUUAUGACUAUAUCUUCAUGAAAAUUGGUCAGAAUGUUAAUAUUGAUGAUCUAAAGGUCCACUUCGAAUCUGGAUCAUGUAGGAUUAAAAACUAGGUCACCCGGUCAAAUCAAAGGGAAAGUUAGAGGCCACAUUUAUGAACAUAUCUUAAUGAAACUUGGUCAGAAUGUUUAUCCUGAUGAUCUUUAGGUCAAGUUUAAAUCUGGGUCAGCUGAGGUCAAAAACUAGGUCAAUAGGCCAAAUCAAAGGAAAAGCUUGUUAACACUCUAGAGGCGACAUUUAUGACUGUAUCUUCAUGAAACUUAAUCAGAAUGUUAAACUUGAUGAUCUUUAGGUCAAGUUCGAAUCUGGGUCAUGUGGGGUCAAAAACUAGGUCACGAGGUCAGAUCAAAAGAAAACCUAGUUAACACUUUAGAGGCCACAUUUAUGAACAUAUCUUGAUAAAACUUGGUCAGAAUGUUAAUCUUGAUGAUCUUUAGGUCAGUAGGUCAGGUGAGCGAUACAGGGCCUUCAUGGCCUUCUUGUAAUAAACCUUAACAUGGAUUUUAUCAAAACUUAGACACAAUGUGGAAAGGUGUAGGUCCUUGUCAUGUGAGCUACAGAUUAACGCAGAGGAAUAAAAUAGUGGUUUUUGAAAUUUUAUAAGUCUCUUGUAAAAUAAAAUAAUAUGUCACAUUAAAGUUGAAAUGUCCGUUUUUCUUUUAAUGCUAUUUUGUUUCAAUGCAUGCACCAGGUACACUUGAAACUUUGUAUUUGAACAAUAUGAAAGGAGAUUAAAUUCAUUUUUGAAUCCUUUUGCAGUUUUGUAUAUUAUUGUAGGGAUAACGCAUUUUUUUCGUGUUAAAACAUCUGCAGAAUCUCAAGGGAUUGGUUUGUAUCGCCCACCAAUGAUUCUCGAGGGAUUCUGACGAUGUUAUAACGUGAAAAGAACAUACAUUUACGCUAUUCUAGCAUAAAAACCCAUAAAAACCAAGUAAAUGAAAAUAGUGUACCGCAAUACCAUCAGAUUUCCAUGAAGUACGAGGUAAAGUCUACGUUGGUUUUUCAUGCAUACGUCAUUUCUUUUUUAAUGAUCUGUUUUGGGGCCGUAAAACGUUUACGCCAUAAAAACCAAGUAAAAGAAAAUAUUGUACCGUAACACCAUCUGAUUUACAUGAAAUGCGAGGUAAAGUCUACGUUAGUUUUUCAUGCCUAAGUCAUUUCUUUUUAGCUCACCUGAGCACGAAGUGCUCAAAGGUGAGCUUUUGUGAUCGCCCUGUGUCCGUCGUCCGUCGUCAACAAUUUGACUGUUAACACUCUAGAGGUCACAAUUUUGGCACAAACUUAAUGAAACUUGGAUAAUAUGUUACCCUCAAUAAAAUCUUGGAAGAGUUCGAUAUUGGAUCAUCUGGGUUCAAAAACUAGGUCACCAGGUCAAAUCAAAGGAAAAGCUUGUUAACACUCUAGAGGUUAAAAUUUGGACCCAAUCUUAUGGUAUCCGAUCCAUGAAUAGCGCAUAUCACUUCGGCAGUUUUCGGACGAUGUCUGUAUUUUCCGGAAUUUUCAUUCAGGAACUUAGUUUUAUUUUAUUUUUUACAUUUUUGAAUAUCAUUUAAUAAAACCAUUAAUAAAAAGACACAUACAUAAAGAAUUUUUACCAACAGUUUUCUAUUAUCAAAAAAUUACGGACUUCUCGUCUACUCUCUUACAACGAGAUGCAAUGGCGGCGCCCAUGAAAAAACAUUGCGAAUGCCGAUUUAAAAAAAAACAACAAACAAUGACAAACGUUUCACAUUAGAAUUAACAGUCUAUCGUGUGAUCAUAUGGUACGAUGGGCGCCAAAAAAUUAUCAUUUAUUGUGCUAACAAGACCUGUCGGCUCUGAAUAUGCUGUGAAUAGCCCAAAACAUCCGGGUUGACGUCAUUUCGACAUGUACAAAAUUAUGAUCAGAUGAAAUAGAAAAAGUAGACAUCGAAAACAACGAUUGUCCACGAAACGCUUGAUUUAGCAAUGGUCUGUGUUGAUGCUAUUUUCUCUGAAAGCAAACUGUCAGUAAUCUGCAGCCGAUUCAGCUACUGUACCAGAAACUUGAAGAAAGGCGUAAAAAUGAGCUGCCAUUACCAAAGUACCUCAGAUAUGUAGGAAACAUGACAUUCGGGCAUUUCUGUUCUGUUGAAAUAAUACUUGAGCUGGAACCAUGACAUGAAAGAAGACCUUAGCCUAGGAAAUAUAUGCAAGCGGAGAUUGAGACAUUAAAUUUGUAAAAUGAAAAGACUUAUGAAGCAAAUAGCAAGUUCUGAAUGCUUCAAACUAACUGUUAGUAGACUUUGGAUGAUUUACUGCAAACAUAUGGCAAAAAAGACUCAGAUACAAAUGUAUCAUAACAGUGCUUACAUGCCAAACUUCCAGGGCAUCUCUACAGGAGAAUUCAGUUGAAAGUCCAGGAGAUUUCAGAAUUUACAUUGUACCUAGUUUAAAAGUAUAACUAAAAAGACAGUUAUGAA